rnacentral:tRNA from 1 species
GCGUUCGUGGCGGAAUUGGUAGACGCGCUAGAUUCAGGUUCUAGUGUCAGCAAUGACGUGGAAGUUCAAGUCUUCUCGAGCGCA